GAUGAACGCUGACAGAAUGCUUAACACAUGCAAGUCGAUGGGGAAGUGGUGCUUGCACCAUGGCAACCAUGGCGGACGGGUGAGUAACGCGUAAGGGACUUACCUGCAGGACUGGGAUAACAGGGGGAAACUCCUGACAAGACCGGAUAAUGUCAUGGAGCUGCAUGGCUUUAUGAUGAAAGGAGACGCCUGCGGAGAGCCUUGCGUCCUAUUAGCUAGUUGGUGAGGUAAUGGCUCACCAAGGCGAAGAUAGGUAGCCGGCCUGAGAGGGUGGACGGCCACAAGGGGACUGAGAUACGGCCCUUACUCCUACGGGAGGCAGCAGUGGGGAAUAUUGGACAAUGGGGGCAACCCUGAUCCAGCAAUUCUGUGUGCACGAAGAAGGUUUUCGGAUUGUAAAGUGCUGUCAGCAGGGAAGAAGUAAGUGACGGUACCUGCAGAAGAAGCGACGGCUAAAUACGUG
rnacentral:rRNA from 1 species